rfam:Oryza sativa (indica cultivar-group) chromosome 11, whole genome shotgun sequence.
AAAAACUCAAUUCCUGAGUUUCCGUGUUCAACGUUUGACUGUCCGUCUUAUAUAAAUUUUUUUUAUGAUUAGUAUUUUUAUUGUUGUUAGAUGAUAAAACAUGAAUAAUAUUUUGUGCGUAACUUAUCUUUUUUAAAUUUUUUUCAUAAUUUUUUCAAAUAAGACGGAUAGUCAAACGUUGGACACGAAAACCUAGAAAUUAAGUUAUU